AUGGCUAAUUAUGAAGUUUUAUUAUUUUAUUUAUAUAAAGGUGAAUAUAUACAUGGGAUGGGAAAACCAUUUUUAGUUAUAUAUACACCUAUUAUAAAUAUUAGUCAUCUUAUAGGAGGGUUCAACCAAAGGUUUUGUAAUCUUCCACUGUGUGUACAAGCAAGCAUUUUGUGGCUAUCUAGUUUUCUAUGA